UACACACACUGUGAAUCAUCGAAUCUUUGAACGCAAGUUGCGGUUUUCUUUCGAAAACCAUGUUUGUCUGAGGGUUGUUUCACACACAUUGAGGCUUGUGUUUCUCGCAAGAGGAACUCCCUUUAAGUGCUGAAACUUAAGGAGUGGUUGAUACUCAGCAAUGAGUAUUUCAAUCUUAACUAAUUGGUUAAAUCUACUCUUUAAAAACAAUAUGGCAAGAGUGAGAUCGAAAGAUCUUGCUUGCUUAUAAAGCUGUAUUGGAGUAUAUCGAGUGGGUCAAUAAGUUUGGAUUUUAAAUCAUUCUUGUUUCAAGUCUCCCAAGCUUUUUCUUUUACGAGAGAAGUGGAAAGAGAAACAAACCAUUUUUAAUACGCAACCUCAGAUCAAGCAAGACUACCCGCUGAACUUAAGCAUAUCAAUAAGCGGAGG
rnacentral:rRNA from 1 species